UACGUAGGGGGCAAGCGUUGUCCGGAAUCAUUGGGCGUAAAGCGCGUGUAGGCGGCUAGGUAAGUCUGCUCUGAAAGCCCGGGGCUCAACCCCGGGAGGCGGGUGGAUACUGUCUAGCUCGAGUCCGGAAGAGGAGUGUGGAAUUCCUGGUGUAGCGGUGAAAUGCGCAGAUAUCAGGAGGAAUACCGGUGGUGUAGACGGCUCUCUGGACCGCCACUGACGCUGAGACACGAAAGCGUGGGUAGCAAACAGG
rnacentral:rRNA from 1 species